rnacentral:rRNA from 1 species
AGCGAACGCUGGCGGCAGGCUUAACACAUGCAAGUCGAGCGGGCAUCCUUGUGGUGUCAGCGGCAGACGGGUGAGUAACGCGUGGGAACGUGCCCUUCGGUUCGGAAUAACUCCGGGAAACUUGAGCUAAUACCGGAUACGUGCGAGAGCAGAAAGGUUUAUCUGCCGAAGGAUCGGCCCGCGUCUGAUUAGCUAGUUGGUGAGGUUAUGGCUCACCAAGGCGACGAUCAGUAGCUGGUCUGAGAGGAUGAUCAGCCACACUGGGACUGAGACACGGCCCAGACUCCUACGGGAGGAAGCAGUGGGGAAUAUUGGACAAUGGGGGCAACCCUGAGCCAGCCAUGCCGCGUGAGUGAUGACGGCCGUAGGGUUGUAAAGCUCUUUUCUUCGGGACGAUAAUGACGGUACCGGAGGAAUAAGCCCCGGCUAACUUCGUG